rnacentral:lncRNA from 1 species
UACAAAUUUCUAAUUCUAAAUUUAUCGUUAACAAUAACAUAUAUCAAAUUGGGAACAUUUUUUGCCUCGAAAUCUCAGCGAAAACUUGUAAACAGUACAGCUUCUCAGAUUGAGUUGGUGCUGAAAAGUUCAAGAAUGUCCAACUCCGUGGCCCCCUUCUCCUCCUAGCCGACGAUAUAGUCAUUAUUGUUGAUGCAGAUGAUGAUAACACGGAGGAGAACCCUGGAUUUCCCUCUGUAAACACUAGAUCCCAAGGGAAUUCAGGCGGUGCCGUUUCCAUAACGGACAUAAUCGUUCUUUUCCCAUCUCUGACAUGUGUAUUUGCCGUUUUGUAAAUGAACAUGAAGACACUGUAUAAGUGAUUAUAUAU